rnacentral:lncRNA from 1 species
UAUUGUUAAUGACAUUGAUUCCAGCUCAUUGUAUGUUUAUUUUAGGCUUCACUCCUGUGGUAGCGGACUGGUACCAGAAAUUCGAGAAGGUCGCUGGCUUGAUGCCAGCUUGGGCAAGCAGGGGAGAGACGCUCCGACGCCACCCUGCUGAGAGCCGCUGUUUGGACUCUGACGGCACCCAUUCACUGCAGAGGAUCCAUUAGUGAGCAAGUGAUGGAAUGCUACAUUUCUCCAGAUCUCUUCAGAUGAAGAAACAAAGUCUUAGAUGGCCUGAGGGUGAGUAAAUUGUCAGCAAAUUUUCAUUUUUGGGUUGACCUAUAAACUUAGGCAUGCAAUUCAUCUCACACUGUUUGUGCUAGACCUGAAU